rnacentral:lncRNA from 1 species
AAAUUCGUUAUAAAUUUCGGCUUAAACAUUUUAAAUUAUUGUUAGUUGACUAAAUGAUGAUGUGCCGUUGAUGCGAGUAGAGAUAUAGCAGUACUAUAGUUGAUGAUAUGAAAAUAAUUAAGAUGCUAUAUAACUGCGACAUCAGCAACACAUAUUGACUCAAUUAGAAGUAUAAGAUGGUUUCUUAAGCUAGAAAUGCU